rnacentral:misc_RNA from 1 species
CAAACUUUCGUCUGCUCGAGCAGCGCACAGGGGUCAGGAAAUGGCUAUUUAAAUCUCAAGCAAAGAUGUCACCAACGAAACUACCUGUAAGGCCAAUAUAACUAACCAGGAAAAUGGCGUCGGGUUCAGACGAUAGUGGGGACCAAAAGCUGACCAAAUGGGAUGUCACCAACGAAACUACCUGUAAGGCCAAUAUAACUAACCAGGAAAAUGGCGUCGGGUUCAGACGAUAGUGGGGACCAAAAGCUGACCAAAUGGGAACGUAAGUAUUAGUUUUAUUUUCAUCGUCAAUCAGUGCUUUCGCCACCAAUACACUACUUGUUUAAAUACAUAAGAUAAUCUCAUAUCACGUACAAAAUAUAUUUGAUUGAGGUCAUAUUAACUAAUUUUAUACAAUAAAUUGCUUGCUAGACAAACACAGUUUUCACAUCACGAUAUUCAUGACAACCUUAUAUAAUAGACUUUUGGACAGUUGAAAUUACGAAAAACAUGAUGAAACAAUCUAAGUUCAUUUAUUUUUACUUUUGUAUCAAUAACUUUCAACGAUACGGUCUUUGAAAAACAAGAUAGAUGUCAUCAUCAUGUAGCUAUUGUGUUACAUGAUUUUCUCAACGGCUUGAAUAUCCAAAAAAGAUCUACAUAAACAAAGAUUUCUGGUUGUUAACGGUCAAAUGAAUACAAAGAAAGAUUACAAGACCGAAAUUAUGACAAAAAGUUUGGCAUAUUCUUAACAUUUGAUGUAAUUAUAUCUAUGUAAGGUUGCAUAGCAAAUGUGUUUAAUAUAAUAUGUAUACAUGCGACAGAUACUUCUAACGUUAGAUUCCUUCUGUUGUUUGUUUCUGUUUUACCUUUUUAACCUUGCUAUGGUCUGUCUGGAUCUCACAACAGAUCAGGAAACCUGCCUUGAUAGAAGGCCUACACCCCAGGAGCUCGGUCGUCUAUCGUACAUGGUCGAUGCGUCCAAAUGUCAGCAACUCUUCAUCGCGCUUGGCCUGUCUCUACCAGAGAUCUCAAACACAGAGCACGAAGCAAGGAGUCUGGCAGCUGUCACUCAGAUAACCAGGAUGUUUUUGAAGUGGACGUACGCCUAUCCUAAUCAAACGUUUCGUCACAUCGAAAUGGCCAUGUCGGAGGCCGACAUGACAACAGACAAUCUCGGCAUGACCGUGGAGACUGGUUGGGAAUGUGUUACUCUAGUCAAUAAUUAGUCAAAAGAGUAAAAUCAGGGGCUGUUUAGGAUUCUUUAAAUCGAAAUGUAAAUGGAGACACGGAAGUCCAGCCAGUGGUAAGAACCCGGAAGGGUUGCGGGUUCGAGUCACGGCACUCCGCUUGUUCCAGUCUACUCAGCUGUAAAAUGACAUGGACUCUGACGAGAAGGGACUCGACAGACAACUAGUCGUCGGUGAAAUAGGGGACCUUGUAGACAACAUAGGCAAGAAUUACUUCAACCUGUUUCUGGAGCUUGGGCUCUCAGUCCCUACCAUAGAGAAGUGUGGAAUGGAUCACAUCAGUGAUAAAAGUAGAGUGGAGAAGCUGACCAAGCUUUGGAUCAACACUUUCCGAGACCAGGCAACCGUUAUCAGGAUUGUGAAGGCAAUGAAACUGUGCAGAAUGGACUGGCACUCAACCGCAAUGGCAUACUGUGUUGCAGACGAGGAGGAGAUUACGGAAUAACCAUGGUGGAGUUGUGCUAUUCUGUAAUGUACGCGGAUACCAGCUACCGACCAAAGAAGCUCGACGUGUUUACCCCUAUGUGUGUGUAUUAACGAGUAUAUAAAUACCGACGCUUGUGAAAGAAACUCAACACAAAAACUUUAAUAUGUAUGUAUGAACGUGAUUUUAAACUGUCUAUAGUGGCACUCUCUGCAGUGACAAAAUUACACGGAUUGGAUUCAAGUAUGGACCUCAAAGAAAUUAUCAAAAUGUAUAUGUAUCAAAUAUAGCUUUAUAAGCUAUGAUGUCCUACGUAAUAUGAUGAAGAUCUCCUUGUUAAAUUCCAAAAAUGAACAACGUUUCAUUUGUCAUCGGAUUCAAGGAUUCAAAUGUAAAAUAAUUCCGAAUAAAUCUAGAGUGGGACACAUUUUCUCCUCCCCAUCACGUUCAGGUUCGAACGUAGGCUAAAAAAUCAUCCGGUACUCGUUUCCCUAUCUAAUUCUUUCUCCUCAAUUGACAAAAGACCUUAAUAUUUGACAUAAAGCACAGUUUUGUUGCGUAUGGAACACAAUUUUUCCUGAUUAUAUUUCAGUGGUUUUGGUAAAAGUUUUUUUUUCUAAAUUGUUCUCCUCUUUCAAGUUUCUUUUUUCACAUUUCUAUUAGAAAAGAUACAGAACAUAUGACUGUAGGUUUUGUUAAAACCUUACUCAGAUGUUAUUUUGUGGUAACUAUGCGGGCUAGAAACGUAGAGAAUCGACCAGAAGUUUCCGAAUGUUCUCGCUAAUAUAAAACUAUCAAGUUCCUCGAAGUUGUAUACUUAUAUCGGACCAACGAGAUAUCUUUAAAAUAAGUGUGACGUCCCAAACAUAACGUAAACUAUCAAUGUAACUAGCGGAUAUUGGUUCGGAGUUACUGAUUUUAUUGAAUAUGCAGGUACGUUAUUAUAUCUUUGUUUCCGUCUAUUUAUGUAGUACUUUAUAGUUACGGAUGAUGUUUAUAAUUGUAUCAUAAAUUACAAAUACAUUCUUUAUUGCUUUACAUUAGUGUUAAAUACCAGUUUAAGUCGUAUGUUAUUGUGCUUAUAAUUUAUACCAGUUCUAUAAAUAGACAACAGAGACCAAGAUCAUAAAUACUUGAUGCUUUACGCAAUCAUGUUUAUUUACACCAUUUUGGCUCAGAUGACACUAAGUGUCUGUAAGUGUAUUAUGUUUUAUAAAGCCCGUUGUCUGCCGGCCGUUCGUCUUUCAGCUGUCUCUUUAAAUUGGUUUUCAUAAGAACUGACAUGCUAAGGGAAAUGAUGUAUUGUUAGCAGCUACUGGUAGAAUCAUGUAUUGUUAAUAUUCACCUUAUUAAAUUACCUUAACGUACGUUCAAUAUCAAAUGGGGCAGACGUGUUAGAAAUUCAACCAACUCUCCUGUAAAGAACCGAAAGAUUUAGAACCAUGGUACUUGGAUAUGUUAUGUAGACCAUAUAAGCAUAUUUUCUAUACUACCUUUUUAGUAAUUUAUUUAAGUCAAAUGUGCAAAAUAUGAAAUACAAAUGUUUCAAUGAGUUAUAAAUCAAUAAAUCAUGUGGUUUUAUGCACCUCCUCUUUUGUGUAAACAGUAGUUAAGAAACAUGUGGAUUUGCUGCUUCUUUGUCACCUAUGAGUCCUAGAAGGACGAAACAGCUAUAAGAUGUAGUGUAAUCAGUUCUCGUAUAUUAUAUACACUGUACUUUCAAAUUACGUUUAUCCUUCCAUAACGCCCAACGUCAUCCUGUCCUAAAAGAAGUACUAUCAGGUGUUUCUCAUAUUUGACAUGUUGUCAUUUUUUUCAAGUUCACCCAGGUCAAAAUAUGAAUAUUUCGAACAGUAUUAUGAAGAUCUAAAAUAGCGAAACCUGGUUUGGAAGUCUAUGAGUGCAUUUUUUUCUCUUUUGAAUUUUGUUGUGUCACCUUUGAUUAAGCUUGUGCAAGAGGGGGAUAUGACCAAACAUAUACCUUGUAUGGAUUCAUAUAACAUGUCAAUAUCAUUUCAUAAAUCAGUAUGUAUAUAUGUAUAAUUUGGUGUCACAAUUUGUCUUUGGAAUUUUGCUAGAUUUUUGAAUAAUAUGAAAUAAGAUAUCAUAAAUUCUGCCUGUUCAGCGAAUUUAUGAUGUAAAUGUAAUACACCUCAUAACACCACAAUAGGAUAUAUUAUUAGUGUAUAUUUAUGUAUGCCAUGGUGUUAUUACACUGCCUACUAUUUGUGUGUAAUAAGACAGUGACUGAAGGCCAGAGCAUGGCGAUAUAGUCAGAACUGUUAGAUGUUGAAGUGAGAAGUCGUAUAUUUUUAUGAGUAUUUGUAUUACUUGAUCAAAAUGCUUGCUAUAACACUAUAAUAUCAGAACUAGUUCGCGUAAGGAAUACCAUAUUUCAUAGUGUAUCGAGGUGUUGCGUAUUGUUACAUAACUAAUCGGAUAAUUUGGGCUUUGGUACAGUUUUAUGUAUAUCACAUGUAUUGCUGAGAAAAGGAAAAGCAACAACCGAGUUGUAGUCGUACCAUCAAAGGAUUUUGGAGGGAUACAGUCACUUAAUAUUUCUUAUUGAUGGAUUAACCAUAUUAAUACUAUGACGAGUAUUUCACUUACCUAUUCAUUAAUGUAUAUGCUGAAAUAACAUGAAUAUCAUGAUUGUGUAUGACAGUUAAACAAGCAAUGCUGGUAAUUCGGUUAACAAAUCUGAAUGAACAUUUAAUCAUGGCUAGAAACGUCAUUUUUGUAUCUUAGUUUUUCUUUUCUCACGCUUGACAAAACGCAUUUAUGAAUUUAAUAAAGUAAUUCGACGUUUACGAUGAAAUUACAUUUUACAGCUGCUAUGACAAAAUAAUUGCUUUUGGUGAAAAUAAAAUACUCGACCUAAAAGGAUGAUACUUUUGAAAAAUUAACACAAAAAGUAAAUAAUAGUUUUGCGGAUAUGCAGUUUAUCUUCAUCUCUGAAGAAAUAUAUUCCUUUGUCAACAUCAGAAGAUUAUGUAAACCUGUUUCCAACACUUUUUAUGUUGUAUUUUCUUUUAUCAUGUGCUAUAACAAAUUGACGAAGUUGCAUUAUGUUGUAAGUUCAAAUGGAUGGUGGUAAUUUGUCAAAUUCGAUUUGGUGUAAAUAUGUUACCACCAACUGAAAUGAUUUACAAAUUGUACGUGUAACUUUGUAAACCACCUGUAUGUUAUAUUGUAUAUGUGUGUUGAUUUUUUAAUAAAUAUAAUUUUAUAUUG